rnacentral:pre_miRNA from 1 species
CAGUCAAAGCUGCUGUGAACUGUGACCAGAAAAUUCAGAUCACAGCACGCUUUGAUGGCU